rnacentral:rRNA from 1 species
CAGUAGCCGCGGUAAUACGGAGGGAGCUAGCGUUGUUCGGAAUUACUGGGCGUAAAGCGCACGUAGGCGGCUUUGUAAGUUAGAGGUGAAAGCCUGGAGCUCAACUCCAGAAUUGCCUUUAAGACUGCAUCGCUUGAAUCCAGGAGAGGUGAGUGGAAUUCCGAGUGUAGAGGUGAAAUUCGUAGAUAUUCGGAAGAACACCAGUGGCGAAGGCGGCUCACUGGACUGGUAUUGACGCUGAGGUGCGAAAGCGUGGGGAGCAAACAGGAUUAGAUACCCCAGUAGUCCCUGUCUCUUAUAC